AGAGUUUGAUCCUGGCUCAGGACGAACGCUGGCGGCGUGCUUAACACAUGCAAGUCGAACGGAAAGCGCUCUUCGGAGUGACUCGAGUGGCGAACGGGUGAGUAACACGUGGGCAACCUGCCCUCAGCUCUGGGAUAACUCCGGGAAACCGGUGCUAAUACUGGAUAUCGACUUCUGCCUCGCAUGGGGUGUGGUUGAAAGUUUUUCGGCUGGGGAUGGGCCCGCGGCCUAUCAGCUUGUUGGUGGGGUGAUGGCCUACCAAGGCGACGACGGGUAGCCGGCCUGAGAGGGCGACCGGCCACACUGGGACUGAGACACGGCCCAGACUUCUACGGAAGGCAGCAGUGGGGAAUAUUGCGCAAUGGGCGGAAGCCUGACGCAGCGACGCCGCGUGAGGGAUGACGGCCUUCGGGUUGUAAACCUCUUUCAGCUCUGACGAAGCGAGAGUGACGGUAGGAGCAGAAGAAGCACCGGCCAACUACGUGCCAGCAGCCGCGGUAAU
rnacentral:rRNA from 1 species